CGAUGAUACGCGAGGAACCGUUACCUGGGCUCGAACGUAAAGAUGACUGGUAGGUGAAAGCUUACAUCUCUUCGGAGCAUUUUACGAGGUGCUGCAUGGUUGUCGUCAGCUCGUGCCGUGAGGUGUCGGGUUAAGUCCCAUAACGAGCGCAACCCCUACCUUUAGUUGCCAUCAGGUAAUGCUGGGGACUCUAAAGGAACUGCCUACGCAAGUAGUGAGGAAGGCGGGGAUGACGUCAAAUCAGCACGGCCCUUACGUCCAGGGCUACACACGUGCUACAAUGGCCGAUACAGAGGGCAGCUACCUGGUGACAGGAUGCAAAUCUCCAAAGUCGGUCUCAGUUCGGAUCGGAGUCUGCAACCCGACUCCGUGAAGUUGGAUUCGCUAGUAAUCGCGCAUCAGCCAUGGCGCGGUGAAUACGUUCCCGGGCCUU
rnacentral:rRNA from 1 species